AUUGAACGCUGGCGGCGUGCCUAACACAUGCAAGUCGAGCGGUAAGGCCCUUUCGGGGGUACACGAGCGGCGAACGGGUGAGUAACACGUGGGUGACCUGCCCUCAGCUCUGGGAUAAGCCUGGGAAACCGGGUCUAAUACUGGAUAUGACUCCAUGACGCAUGUUGUGGGGUGGAAAGCCUUGUGCGGCUGAGGAUGGGCCCGCGGCCUAUCAGCUUGUUGGUGGGGUGAUGGCCUACCAAGGCGACGACGGGUAGCCGGCCUGAGAGGGCGACCGGCCACACUGGGACUGAGACACGGCCCAGACUCCUACGGGAGGCAGCAGUGGGGAAUCUUGCGCAAUGGGCGCAAGCCUGACGAAGCAACGCCGCGUAGAGGAUGAAGGCCCUCGCGGUCGUAAACUCUUGUCUAGCGGGACGAAACCUCCAUAAGUGAAUAACUUAUGGAAUUGACUGUACCGCUGGAGGAAGCUCCGGCCAACUCCGUGCCA
rnacentral:rRNA from 1 species